rfam:Trichobilharzia regenti genome assembly, scaffold: TRE_scaffold0003274
GCACUGAUGAGGAGUCCCAAACUAGGACAAAACAGCUGUCCAGUAC